CACAGGGGGGGCAAGUAUUAUUCUUCAUGACUGGGCGUAAAGGAUAUGUAGGCGGCUUUAUUUAAAUUAUUAAAAGAAAUGCUAUGAAAAAAUUAUAGAUAAUUUUAAUAAUUUAUAAAGCUUUGAGUUUAUAAAAGAUAUUAGAAACUUUAGAGUAAUUGUGAAAAGUACAGAGACUAAACAUAGAAUUCCAAAUGGCGAAAGCAUGUAUCUUGUUAAAACUGACGCUGAAAUAUGAAGGUUUGGGUAGCGAAUAGG
rnacentral:rRNA from 1 species